GCCUCGGUGGCGGAACUGGCAGACGCGUACGACUCAAAAUCGUAUGGCCGCAAGGUCAUGGGAGUUCAAGUCUCCCCCGAGGCA
rnacentral:tRNA from 1 species